GAUGAACGCUGGCGGCGUGCCUAAUACAUGCAAGUCGAGCGAACAGACGAGGAGCUUGCUCCUCUGACGUUAGCGGCGGACGGGUGAGUAACACGUGGAUAACCUACCUAUAAGACUGAGAUAACUUCGGGAAACCGGAGCUAAUACCGGAUAAUAUAUUGAACCGCAUGGUUCAAUAGUGAAAGACGGUUUUGCUGUCACUUAUAGAUGGAUCCGCGCCGCAUUAGCUAGUGGUAAGGUAACGGCUUACCAAGGCAACGAUGCGUAGCCGACCUGAGAGGGUGAUCGGCCACACUGGAACUGGGACACGGUCCAGACUCCUACGGGAGGCAGCAGUAGGGAAUCUUCCGCAAUGGGCGAAAGCCUGACGGAGCAACGCCGCGUGAGUGAUGAAGGUCUUCGGAUCGUAAAACUCUGUUAUUAGGGAAGAACAAAUGUGUAAGUAACUAUACACGUCUUGACGGUACCUAAUCAGAAAGCCACGGCUAACUACGUGCCAGCCGCCGCCGUAA
rnacentral:rRNA from 1 species